rnacentral:misc_RNA from 1 species
AAAAAAUAAGCACGCAAUUACUACACAUCUGGUUCGUUAAUAGAAUUCUUACUAUACUUCUGUUUGUGUCAUCAUAAUAUCGGUAGACUAGUUAAUACAAUACAACACAAACUCAUACAUUUCCAUUAUUUAUACAUGAUAAUGAUGCAUAGGCAGGGGGGACUACAAAAAUGAUAGAAUAUAAAUAGACAUUCACUAAUAAACACCUUGAGAUACAUAUUAAUAAAAAAUGGAAAGCCAUCACUUGAUAAAUUUUCCAUCUAAGCUGGGUUCCAGUAAGGUCUUCUUGUAACAGUCCUAAACUUCAGCAUUUUGCAUGAAGUGGCUGCUUUCAAGACUUCACCCACACUUAGGUUUGGCACCCCAAUGUUUCACCACUGACCAGAAAAUUGCUCCAAUACUCACACAAAUAAAUAAAAGAAAAAUAGCUUAAAUUUUUAAGGACGUGACUGAUAUGUUUAUGGUAACUUUGCUAGAUGAAAAUGUCACCAACUUCUAAGAUUGUUGCAACUCAUUCUGUUUCUACAUAGCUCAAGAACACCAAUGCAACUCCCAAGCACCAUCUCACAUGUGCCUAGUCCAGGCAUAAGUUCACAAAAUAAAAUCAUAACUAAAAUUCAUUUAAAAAUUUAUGCAUUUGAAAUUACGGGAAACUGUUCUUUCCCCCAUAGCAAACAUCAUUAUGCACCAAUGUACUUCACAGAAUUAUAAGAUGAUCCUAUGAAUUAUUAAUAAUAUAUUUCUUCACCUCUUUCUUUCAUGCAAAAUUAUAAAAUAAAAACCAAUCACAUACACAAUUGCUUCAACUCAGAACCAUAUAGCAAACAAGAGAAGGAAUGAUAUAGACCUCACCAAUAGCAUAUUAAGCAUAAAAAUGUAAACCAUUCAGAGCAUUCAUAUUGCUACAACAUGUCAUCAAAAUACUGAAUGUAAAUAAGCAAUUAAGAUUGCAUCUGAAAAACCAAAAUCAAUGAGUUCAAAAGCAAAAAUACUGUUCAGUAAACUUAAUAUAAUAGAAAUGAGUAACAACAUGAUAAAAAUUGGAUUUUCAUAUAAAAACAGCCAGUAACGUGAACUACCUUCCAAAAAAAAUCAACUUUAGCUACAAUAUCCAACAGGAUACUUCAAUUUCAUACAAUAAAAAAGCAGUUACAUGAUUUCAAUUAGCCUUUCCCAGACUCAAAACAAGAAGACAAAAGUAUCCCAUUAAUAAUAAAUAACCAACUAAUAAUUAUCAGUCGUAAAAAUCAUAAAAUUCAAGAACCCAACUACGCAGGCAGCUCAAUUUACUCACACGUACGCGAAAACAUGAAAUCAAGUCUCACCAAUCGAAUCAACGUCACUAAUAAAAACACAAACUGAAUGUUUCAGAAUCAUCACAACAGUAUCAACAAACCAACUAGUAGCACUCCCUAAUUAAGGAGCACUGAUUAGAAUCUGAGAAGCACAAAACCCAGACAAGCAAUCAUGGAGACACCAAAUUAAAAAACAUGGCUCUAGAAAAAAAUCGAUUCAACGACAAACCUAUUAUUUGGCCUAGGGUGAGGCGGUGGAGACCGGCAAAUGACCGGAGAUACGCCGGAGAUAAGAGUUGAAUAGCAAGUGUGAAUAGAAACAGAGUCGGGAACGGAAAUUCGUAUGCUAUUUUGGUUUGUUU